CUGCAAAACUUUCCGCAGAACUUCACCGCGUGGCGAAGCCUGGGCUGCUGCGAGGCCUGGCCAGCCGAAGGAUGGGAUGCGCGACUGACUCAGCAUGUGUGACUCCUGUGUCAGUGUCCCUGGCACAAAGAAUGUAACACUUGAGUUGAUAGGGGCCGCUGUAUCCAGAGACCUGGGACAAAAGCGGUCCACUGGAUGUCCCAGAAGACCUACAUCAUUCCCACCAGCUGGGCUGCUGGCCGGUAGCAAAGAACAAAACGGAAAUUUCAUGAAGACAAUCCAGUUACUUAGCAUUAUGCAACAGGUCAGAUGGCAGAGCAAAGCACUGGGCUGAGAAUCUGGAUUUUGGAGAGCAGCCGACACCUAACCUCUGAUUUCCCAGUCUUGAAAGUGAUGCUUGGGAGCUCCAGCUGAGAACAGGCUUGAGAUUUCUGGAGUCCAACAGCACAAAGCAGACUCACCUUCUCCCAUCACAAGAGAUCAAAACACUGUAAAACUGUAAUAUAAGUUUUAUUGUUUCCUGGACUGGCCACUGAGGGGCUUUUUUUUUUUUUUUUUUUUUUUUUUUUGAAAUAACAAACAUGACUUUUCAUGACUCCUGUUGUAGGUACUCUUUCUGUAUCUCUGCAAUAAAGGCUCUGCUCCAGGGAGGCUCCACCUUAGCCCUUCUGAACUCUGCCAACUGAGAUUCUUGGCUUAAUAUAGCCCACUGAUUGCAGGUCCCCAAAAGGAGCACCUGCAGGCCCCUGGAAAGGUUCUGCUAGCCACAGCCCUGACUGUCAGCCAAGUGAACAAAACCCCUUACCCUAAGGCUAACUUGAGCAGGGUUGCAGAUUGGCUUCUGGAAAGUGUUCACAGCUUCACUGGCCCCAUGGAGCCUCUCUUCUUGGUUUGACAUGUCUUGGGAUCCUAAGGUCCUGUACACAGCUGGCUAUGCUAGGGCUGUCUUCUCCUGACACCUCCCUCCUUACAAGUCUUGUCAUCCUUGAGGGAUUUGAGAACCUGCCAGCUAUGGAUGAGCUGCACUUCCCUAUCUGAGCAGCCUAAAUACAGGAUGCUUCUGGGACAGAAUCAAUCGGAUCCCUCUUCCACCAGCCAGGGCAGGUUUUGGUACUACCCAGCUGGCAGAGUAAAAGCCAACACUGGGACAUCACACAACUGUGACAUGGCUCCAGCCAGUUGCUCACACAAGACCCACUGUGUGUUCACACACACUAUCAGUCCUCCCCUGUCCCCUCACCAAACAUCAUCUUGUGCCAACCGCCAUGAAAGCAAAGACAAACUAACACACUUGUAGUUCUGCGACUUUCAUUUGAUGGGAGAAAUAAACUUUUGGCCAUA